GCCUGGAUAGCGAGAUUUCUCCACAACUGCAAGAUUCCAAAACAUUUGCGAAUUCUUGGCCCCCUGACGACCGAAGAAACAGAGCAACAAGUGAAGUGGUGGAUCCGAAGAGUCCAAGAGAGAUACAGAAAGACGGAGAAGUUUCGCGAUGAUGAGCUUACCCUUAACCUACAAAGAAAUCAUGAUGGAAUCUACGAGUGUAGAGGUCGCAUCCAAGGGAGUUACCCUGUGUACUUACCACCUAAAGUCGUCCUAUCGGAAA